rnacentral:rRNA from 1 species
CCCGGCACGGGGAGGUAGUGACGAAAAUAACGGUGCAAGGAUCUAUCAAGGCCUUGUAAUUGGAAUGAAUAGAGUUUAAAAAAUUGUACUGAGUACCAAUUGGAGGGCAAGUCUGGUGCCAGCAGCCGCGGUAAUUCCAGCUCCAAUGGCAUAUAUUAAAGUUGUUGUGGUUAAAAAGCUCGUAGUUGGAAUCUUGCCUGAGGAGUUAGUGGAAGCCGAAUGGUUUUCUUCUAUAGAGUUCAGGCUUUUGCCUUGAGAACAAUUAGUGCUCUUGACUGGGUGUUUUUUGAAUUGUCAAGCACUAUUACCUUGACUAAAUUCGAGUGCUUAAAGCAGGCGUAUGCCUGAAGAGAUGUUCAUGGGAUGAUGGAACAUGAUCUCUGUUCUGUUUGUUGGUUUGAGAUAAAAGAGAUAAUGAUAAAUGGAAGCAAGCGGGGGCAUUUGUACUGCUACGCUAGAGGUGAAAUUCUUGGACCGUAGCAUGACAAACUAAAGCGAAAGCAUCUGCCAAGGAUGUUUCCGUUAAUCAAGAACGAAAGUUAGAGGAUCGAAGGCGAUCAGAUACCGCCCUAGUUCUAACUGUAAACUAUGCUGACCAGCUAUCUGCCGGCGUUAUUCCCAUGACUCGGCAGGCCGCUUCCGGGAAACCAGAGUUUCUGAGUUCCAGGGGAAGUAUGGUUGCAAAUCUGAAACUUAAAGGAAUUGACGGAAGGGCACCACAAGGAGUGGAGCCUGUGGCUUAAUUUGACUCAACACGGGAAACUUUACCAGGCCCAGACAGUAGAAUGAUUGACAGAUUGAAAGCUCUUUCUCAAUUUAUUGGUUGGUGGUGCAUGGCCGUUCUUAGUUGGUGGAGUGAUUUGUCUGGUUUAUUCCGAUAACGAACGAGACUCUGGCCUACUAAAUAGGGAGCAGGUUGUUACUCGCCUGCGGUGUCUUCUUAGAGGGAUAAGCUGCUUGCAGCAGCAAGAGAUUGAGCGAUAACAGGUCUGGUAUGCCCUUAGAUGCUCUGGGCCGCACGCGCGCUACAAUGGUAGCGUCAGCGUGCCGAGCAUCUCUGAGAGGAGGUGUCAAUCAUUGAAAUGGUACCGUGGUUGGGAUUGGGGCUUGCAAUUGUUUCCCAUGAACUAGGAAUUCCUAGUAGGCGCAGGUCCUUAGCCUGCAUCGAUUAAGUCCCUGCCCUUUGUACACACCGCCCGUCGCUACUACCGAUUGAGUGCACCAGUGAGGGCUUUGGACUGGCAUCCUUGGUGGGUUCUGCCCGCCUUGGCUUGAUUG